rnacentral:rRNA from 1 species
AGGAUGAACGCUGGCGGCGUGCCUAACACAUGCAAGUCGAACGUCCUGUCUCGCAAGAGGCAGGGAGUGGCGGACGGGUGAGUACCACGUGGGUUAUCUACCGUGAGGUGAGGAAUACCGGCGAGAAAUCGCCGACAAGACCGCAUAGCCUCGGUGCAAGCCGAGCAAAGCUCUUUCGAGAGAGGGAGCGCCACACGAGGAGCCUGCGCCCGAUUAGCUAGCUGGUGGAGUAACGGUUCACCAGGGCGACGAUCGGUAGCUGGUCUGAGAGGACGAUCAGCCACACUGGGAUUGAGAACGGCCCAGACUCCUACGGGGGGCAGCAGUGAGGAAUUUCGUCAAUGGGGCAACCCUGAACGAGCAACGCCGCGUGCAGGAAGAAGGUUUUCGGAUCGUAAACUGCUUUUCUCGGGGAAGAGAACGGACGGUACCCGAGGAAUCAGCCCCGGCUAACUACGUGCCAGCAGCCGCGGUAA